rnacentral:rRNA from 1 species
UCGAACGGCAACAGCAGAGCUUGCUCUGGCUGGCGAGUGGCGGACGGGUGAGUAACGCGUAGGAAUAUGCCCAGUAGCGGGGGAUAGCCCGGGGAAACCCGGAUUAAUACCGCAUACGCCCUACGGGGGAAAGCGGGGGAUCUUCGGACCUCGCACUAUUGGAGUAGCCUGCGUUGGAUUAGCUUGUUGGUGGGGUAAAGGCCUACCAAGGCGACGAUCCAUAGCUGGUCUGAGAGGACGAUCAGCCACACUGGGACUGAGACACGGCCCAGACUCC